rnacentral:tRNA from 1 species
GACCCCUUCAUCUAGUGGCCAAGGAUACCGCCCCUUCUAGGCGGUUACGCAAGUUCAAAUCUUGCAGGGGUCGCCA